rnacentral:rRNA from 1 species
GGUGGUUUCUUACUACAUGGAUAACUGUAGUAAUUCUAGAGCUAAUACAUGCGUAAAGUCCCGACUCUUGCGGGGAGGGAUGUAUUUAUUAGAUAAAAAACCAAUGCGGACUCUGUCCGGUUUUGUGGUGAAUCAUAGUAACUUUUCGAAUCGCAUGGCUUCACGCCGGCGAUAGUUCAUUCAAAUUUCUGCCCCAUCAGCUUUCGACGGUAGUGUAGUGGACUACCGUGGCGUUAACGGGUAACGGAGAAUUAGGGUUCGAUUCCGGAGAGGGAGCCUGAGAAACGGCUACCACAUCCAAGGAAGGCAGCAGGCGCGCAAAUUACCCAAUCCUGACACAGGGAGGUAGUGACAAAAAAUAACAAUACCUGGCCUUUUUAGGUCGGGUAAUUGGAAUGAGAACAAUUUAAAUCCCUUAACGAGGAUCAAUUGGAGGGCAAGUCUGGUGCCAGCAGCCGCGGUAAUUCCAGCUCCAAUAGCGUAUAUUAAUGUUGUUGCAGUUAAAAAGCUCGUAGUUGGAUUUCUGGUGGGAGUGGCCGGUCCGCCGUAAGGUGUGUACUUGGUUGUCUCCUGUCAUCCUUGUGGGAACUGCUCUGGCAUUAAGUUGUCGGGGUUGGGGAACACAUCGUUUACUGUGAAAAAAUUAGAGUGUUUAAAGCAGGCUUAUGCCGUUGAAUACAUUAGCAUGGAAUAAUAAGAUAGGACUCUGGCGUCUAUUUUGUUGGUUUGCACACCAAAGUAAUGAUUAAUAGGGAUAGUUGGGGGUAUUCGUAUUUAAUUGUCAGAGGUGAAAUUCUUGGAUUUAUGAAAGACGAACUUCUGCGAAAGCAUUUACCAAAGAUGUUUUCAUUAAUCAAGAACGAAAGUUAGGGGAUCGAAGAUGAUUAGAUACCAUCGUAGUCUUAACCAUAAACUAUGCCGACUAGGGAUUGGCGGUCGUUCAUUUAUGACUCCGUCAGCACCUUAUGAGAAAUCAAAGUCUUUGGGUU